AGCAGCCGCGGUAAUUCCAGCUCCAAUAGCGUAUAUUAAAGUUGUUGCAGUUAAAAAGCUCGUAGUUGGAUUUCGGGAUCAGUUCGCUGGUCGUGCCUUCGGUAUGUACUGGUGUUACUGGUUCCUACCUUCUGACGAAUCGUCAUGUCAUUAAUUUGGUGUGGCGGGGAAUCAGGACUUUUACUUUGAAAAAAUUAGAGUGUUUAAAGCAGGCUCGCGCUUGAAUACAUUAGCAUGGAUAAUGAAAUAGGACGUUCGAUCCUAUUUUGUUGGUUUCUAGGAUUGACGUAAUGAUUAAUAGGGAUAGUUGGGGGCAUUAGUAUUCAAUUGUCAGAGGUGAAAUUCUUGGAUUUUAUUGAAGACUAACUACUGCGAAAGCAUUUGCCAAGGAUGUUUUCAUUAAUCAAGAACGAAAGUUAGGGGAUC
rnacentral:rRNA from 1 species